rnacentral:rRNA from 1 species
CGAACGCUGGCGGCGUGCCUAAUACAUGCAAGUCGAGCGAGCUUGCCUAGAUGAUUUUAGUGCUUGCACUAAAUGAAACUAGAUACAAGCGAGCGGCGGACGGGUGAGUAACACGUGGGUAACCUGCCCAAGAGACUGGGAUAACACCUGGAAACAGAUGCUAAUACCGGAUAACAACACUAGACGCAUGUCUAGAGUUUGAAAGAUGGUUCUGCUAUCACUCUUGGAUGGACCUGCGGUGCAUUAGCUAGUUGGUAAGGUAACGGCUUACCAAGGCAAUGAUGCAUAGCCGAGUUGAGAGACUGAUCGGCCACAUUGGGACUGAGACACGGCCCAAACUCCUACGGGAGGCAGCAGUAGGGAAUCUUCCACAAUGGACGAAAGUCUGAUGGAGCAACGCCGCGUGAGUGAAGAAGGGUUUCGGCUCGUAAAGCUCUGUUGGUAGUGAAGAAAGAUAGAGGUAGUAACUGGCCUUUAUUUGACGGUAAUUACUUAGAAAGUCACGGCUAACUACGUGCCAGCAGCCGCGGUAAUACGUAGGUGGCAAGCGUUAUCCGGAUUUAUUGGGCGUAAAGGGAACGCAGGCGGUCUUUUAAGUCUGAUGUGAAAGCCUUCGGCUUAACCGGAGUAGUGCAUUGGAAACUGGGAGACUUGAGUGCAGAAGAGGAGAGUGGAACUCCAUGUGUAGCGGUGAAAUGCGUAGAUAUAUGGAAGAACACCAGUGGCGAAAGCGGCUCUCUGGUCUGUAACUGACGCUGAGGUUCGAAAGCGUGGGUAGCAAACAGG